UAUCGUUGGGGAGACCAUAAACUCUCGAAAGCCCAAGUUAUCGAAAACCCGAACGCAAGCGAACGGUAAACCGAAUGGUCCCGAUUAGAAGUUAUCGAAUCUCGGCUCCUCCCCUCGUUAUUUGUAUUUUAAAUUGUAAACAAAAGUCAACGCAAUUUGUUUUUGGUGGAAAUAUACACUAAAAUACUUUAAAAUGUAAAGUUAUCUUGCAAAAUUAGAACCUGAAAGCCUAGAAAUGCGGAAUCGGUACAAACCAAAAAUUUAACUUGUGAAUAACAUAGAAAAUAGAAGUCCUUAGUUUUGAUAUUUAUUUUAAAUGCUAGCCCAGACUGCCCAGUGGAGUUUUCAAAGAUAUAAGAAACACGGAAAUUAUUAGUAGUGUUCACCAUGAAUUCUUACAAAUUUCCAGAAAUUGAAAGGAAAUAGGAGGCGUGUGUUAAGCAAGAUUUUGUAGUGAUUAUGGAAGCCUAAAGUUGCAGGCCAUAUCCUUAUCAAAGCAAAAAGUCAAAAAUCUACAGCGUAUGAAUAGUAUGUAAACCUGAAGCCUGCAGCUGAGAUUGUGUUAGAAAGGGUUUCAACAUCAAACUAUACUGAAUAGAGGUGGGUUGUGAAAUCGCAGUCCGCUACUUUGUCACAGCUCCACCAACGUCGCAGUAUGUGACUGCUCCAGUUCCAAGAAAAUCGCAGUGACAUUUCGGAGCAGUUUACAAGUUUAGGACAUCUGCGCUCGUGAGUAGCAAUAGGAGCAAUAGCAGGCAAUAGUGUAAAUUCUGAAAAUGCUCCUAGCCCCGUCGCCCGGUCAGACUGUUCCAGUCACAGUCGUCGCAGGUCGCAGUCGACUGGAGCAUAGUAUAUUGAGUAUAUUCUGUGUACUGGAGCUGUUGGGAGUUUGGGAACGGGAAACGUAGCAGCGUUCGCUUUUUCUUUCAUGAAUCUAAAUAAGAUAUUUAUGUAUUAUAUAUUAAUCACAAACAGAUGUUUUUGACAAAGGUAAUUUUUAACUUGUUAGUAUGUUUAUUUGUUAGUUAAUUUUGUAUCUGUGUUUUGUUGUAUAUCCUAAAUCUUUUAUUUGAUCUUAUACAUUCAUAUAAGUUUUAUUAUUUAUAUCUAUUUUUAAGGUCUGAUGAUGGCUAAAUAGCCGAAACCGGUCACUAAUAAAGAUUUUUUUGA